GACGAACGCUGGCGGCGUGCCUAAUACAUGCAAGUAGAACGCUGAAGAGAGGAGCUUGCUCUUCUUGGAUGAGUUGCGAACGGGUGAGUAACGCGUAGGUAACCUGCCUUGUAGCGGGGGAUAACUAUUGGAAACGAUAGCUAAUACCGCAUAACAAUGGAUGACACAUGUCAUUUAUUUGAAAGGGGCAAUUGCUCCACUACAAGAUGGACCUGCGUUGUAUUAGCUAGUAGGUGAGGUAAUGGCUCACCUAGGCGACGAUACAUAGCCGACCUGAGAGGGUGAUCGGCCACACUGGGACUGAGACACGGCCCAGACUCCUACGGGAGGCAGCAGUAGGGAAUCUUCGGCAAUGGGGGCAACCCUGACCGAGCAACGCCGCGGGAGUGAAGAAGGGUUUCGGAUCGUAAAGCUCUGUUGUAAGUCAAGAACGGGUGUGAGAGUGGAAAGUUCACACUGUGAUGGUAGCUUACCAGAAAGGGACGGCUAACUACGUG
rnacentral:rRNA from 1 species